GGAUUAGAUACCCUGGUAGUCCACGCCGUAAACGAUGAUAACUCGAUGUUGGCAAUAUAUCGUCAGCGUCCUAGCGAAAGCGUUAAGUUAUCCACCUGGGGAGUACGAUCGCAAGAUUGAAACUCAAAGGAAUUGACGGGGGCCCGCACAAGCGGAGGAGCAUGUGGUUUAAUUCGAUGAUACGCGAGGAACCUUACCUGGGCUCAAACGUAGAGUGACUGUCUGUGAAAGCAGGCUUCCCUUCGGGGCAGUCUACGAGGUGCUGCAUGGUUGUCGUCAGCUCGUGCCG
rnacentral:rRNA from 1 species